rnacentral:lncRNA from 1 species
GGUUGUUAAUUGCGGUAACUUUGCACAUGCAUCCUCCAAAUUUCAGUUUGUACAGGAAGGUCCUUCAAAGAGCAGCAAGGAAAAAUAAAAGAGGGAGUGGGGCAGGCACGAGAUUAUGUGUAGUCUUUGCAUUACUAAUCCAGGUCACCAGUUAUUGCAUAAACAAUUCAAAAGAAUGGUGCAAUGGCCUCUUAAAAGAGAUCGUCGAGAAGUGAGCAACUUUUUCUCUCAAGCAGCCGUUCAGUAUCAUUCUUAUUAGCAUUGCAUGCAAUUUCUACUUAAACUCAAGUGGUAUUAUUUACAAAUUCUUUUUAGGUUGCAGAUUGUACUAAUUGUUUCUUGUCAUUUUGUAACAAAGUUUGUAUUCUAAAUUUGUAUUUUCCGAAGUACAUGAAUUUGUUUAUUUGUUGGUUUGCAUCUGAGAGAACAUGUGUCUAACAGCCAUUUGGUAUGGCAUUUUUGCACUUGGCACUUGAAUUAUGUUCCACUAUUUAAAUUUUCAUUUGAGGUAUAAG